rnacentral:rRNA from 1 species
CCUACGGGUGGCAGCAGUGAGGAAUAUUGGUCAAUGGACGAGAGUCUGAACCAGCCAAGUAGCGUGAAGGAUGACUGCCCUAUGGGUUGUAAACUUCUUUUAUAUGGGAAUAAAAUGUUCCACGUGUGGGAUUUUGUAUGUACCAUAUGAAUAAGGAUCGGCUAACUCCGUGCCAGCAGCCGCGGUAAUACGGAGGAUCCGAGCGUUAGCCGGAUUUAUUGGGUUGAAAGGGAGCGUAGGUGGAUUGUUAAGUCAGUUGUGAAAGUUUGCGGCUCAACCGUAAAAUUGCAGUUGAAACUGGCAGUCUUGAGUACAGUAGAGGUGGGCGGAAUUCGUGGUGUAGCGGUGAAAUGCUUAGAUAUCACGAAGAACUCCGAUUGCGAAGGCAGUUCACUGGACUGCAACUGACACUGAGGCUCGAAAGUGUGGGUAUCAAACAGGAUUAGAUACCCGGGUAGUC